rnacentral:rRNA from 1 species
UACAGAGGUCUCGAAGCGUUGUUCGGAUUCAUUGGGCGUAAAGGGUGCGUAGGCGGCGCGGUAAGUCGGGUGUGAAAUUUCGAGGCUUAACUUCGAAACUGCAUUCGAUACUGCCGUGCUAGAGGACUGGAGAGGAGACUGGAAUUUACGGUGUAGCGGUGAAAUGCGUAGAUAUCGUAAGGAAGACCAGUGGCGAAGGCGGGUCUCUGGACAGUUCCUGACGCUGAGGCACGAAGGUCAGGGGAGCAAACGGG